rnacentral:rRNA from 1 species
GACGAACGCUGGCGGCGUGCUUAACACAUGCAAGUCGAACGGAAAGGCUCCAGCUUGCUGGAGUACUCGAGUGGCGAACGGGUGAGUAACACGUGGGUGAUCUGCCCUGCACUUCGGGAUAAGCCUGGGAAACUGGGUCUAAUACCGGAUAGGACCGCACUUUGGUGUGUGUGGUGGAAAGGUUUUUCUGGUGUGGGAUGAGCUCGCGGCCUAUCAGUUUGUUGGUGGGGUAAUGGCCUACCAAGACGGCGACGGGUAGCCGGCCUGGGAGGGUGGACGGUCACAUUGGGACUGAGGUACGGCCCAGACUCCUACGGGGGGCAGCAGUGGGGAAUAUUGCACAAAGGGGGAAACCCUGAUGCAGCGACGCCGCGUGGGGGAUGAAGGCCUUCGGGUUGGAAACUCCUUUCGCUAGGGACGGAGCUUUUUGUGACGGUACCUGGAGAAGAAGCACCGGCUAACUACGUG